rnacentral:lncRNA from 1 species
ACCUUUAUCUGUACUCAGACACAUAUAUUCUUUUUAUACUAUUAAUUUUCUUCUGCUAACAUGAUCUCAUACACUUGUAUGCAUAUCUGGAAGUGCAAAAGGAUGAAGAACUAGACCAUGAGCUUUGACUUUUUUUUUUUUUUUAACUCAAAAGAAAAAAAAGAAAUCUUUGAUUUGUUUGGUGCAAGGAAAUGCAAUGAUGCACAAAUAUAUUUUUGUGAUAAACAAGGUGGCAAUGGAUAACAGUUUGCUAGGAAGGAAAGAAGAGAUUCAAGUGUCUGCAACACCUAAAAUGUUUGAUUCAAGAAAUUAAAAAAGAAUAGAAAAGAAAAGAAAAGCCUGAAUAUGAGAAGAUUAGAUGUGUUAUCUCAUGCAGCCAGAAGAUGACUAAACCAGCAUGAUAUGUAUAAAACUACACAAAGAUUUAUAAAGGAAAUUCUGUUCCAUCUAAUAUGCCCUUGAAGUGAAAUUACACCUAGCCCAUCAUAUCAAAUACGUAACAUAAAUGCCUAAUGGUUCCAUAGUAUAAAGUAUGGAAACCAUUAGUCCAUCCAUCAAAUUUUACUCCUUAAUUAAAUGGAUGACAUUAGCUAUACACACACACACACACACANNNN